CACGACGUAUUGUGUUUGAUGCAGUCGAGCGGAACGACACUAACAAUCCUUCGGGUGCGUUAAUGGGCGUCGAGCGGCGGACGGGUGAGUAAUGCCUAGGAAAUUGCCUUGAUGUGGGGGAUAACCAUUGGAAACGAUGGCUAAUACCGCAUAAUGCCUACGGGCCAAAGAGGGGGACCUUCGGGCCUCUCGCGUCAAGAUAUGCCUAGGUGGGAUUAGCUAGUUGGUGAGGUAAUGGCUCACCAAGGCGACGAUCCCUAGCUGGUCUGAGAGGAUGAUCAGCCACACUGGAACUGAGACACGGUCCAGACUCCUACGGGAGGCAGCAGUGGGGAAUAUUGCACAAUGGGCGAAAGCCUGAUGCAGCCAUGCCGCGUGUAUGAAGAAGGCCUUCGGGUUGUAAAGUACUUUCAGUUGUGAGGAAGGGGGUGUAGUUAAUAGCUGCAUCUCUUGACGUUAGCAACAGAAGAAGCACCGGCUAACUCCGUGCCAGCAGCCGCGGUAAUACGGAGGGUGCGAGCGUUAAUCGGAAUUACUGGGCGUAAAGCGCAUGCAGGUGGUUCAUUAAGUCAGAUGUGAAAGCCCGGGGCUCAACCUCGGAACUGCAUUUGAAACUGGUGAACUAGAGUACUGUAGAGGGGGGUAGAAUUUC
rnacentral:rRNA from 1 species